AUCCACAGAAGGUCCACAAGGCCAAGCUACAAGAAUUGACAGGCGGGAGCUGAUCUGUGGACCAAUUCCCAUCUGUAACAUGGGACAGAAUGUCCCCCUCUUCGUUGGUACACUACUUCACUGCAGUUGGUCCUAGCAGCAUUUAUUUUAUGUAGGCAUGUUUACUUGAGUGCUUCCUCUUGGUUCUAUGUUUGAUUUGAA